rnacentral:misc_RNA from 1 species
GUAAUUUUGAGAUCAGAAAAUGGAGAUGUUUCUUUUCUCCCUUGCAGUGAACCCUUACUUUUGUUUCCCUUGAGCUAAAACAAGAUGUCAAUGUCUAUAGUUAAGCAUCGCAUGCCCAAAAGGUUGCCCAAAUUUAUUUCUUACUAAAAUUAAGGGAAUAAAAUUAAAUGUAAAUAUGUUAGCUUCUUGCUAAGAUUCCAAGUAUUAGUUUCACAGAAA